rnacentral:rRNA from 1 species
UAGGGAAUCUUCGGCAAUGGGGGGAACCCUGACCGAGCAACGCCGCGUGAGUGAAGAAGGUUUUCGGAUCGUAAAGCUCUGUUGUUAAGGAAGAACGAGUGUGAGAAUGGAAAGUUCAUACUGUGACGGUACUUAACCAGAAAGGGACGGCUAACUACGUGCCAGCAGCCGCGGUAAUACGUAGGUCCCGAGCGUUGUCCGGAUUUAUUGGGCGUAAAGCGAGCGCAGGCGGUUAGAUAAGUCUGAAGUUAAAGGCAGUGGCUCAACCAUUGUAGGCUUUAGAAACUGGUUAACUUGAGUGCAGAAGGGGAGAGUGGAUUUCCAUGUGUAGCGGUGACAUGCGAAGAUAUAUGGAGGAACACCGAUGGCGAAAGCGGCUCUCUGGUCUGUAACUGACGCUGAGGCUCGAAAGCGUGGGGAGCGAACAGG